AUUGAACGCUGGCGGCAUGCCUUACACAUGCAAGUCGAACGGCAGCACGGGUACUUGUACCUGGUGGCGAGUGGCGAACGGGUGAGUAAUACAUCGGAACGUACCUUAUCGUGGGGGAUAACGCAGCGAAAGCUGUGCUAAUACCGCAUACGCCCUGAGGGGGAAAGCGGGGGAUCGAAAGACCUCGCGCGAUUAGAGCGGCCGAUGCCUGAUUAGCUUGAUGGUGGGGUAAAAGCCCACCAAGGCGACGAUCAGUAGCUGGUCUGAGAGGACGAUCAGCCACACUGGGACUGAGACACGGCCCAGACUCCUACGGGAGGCAGCAGUGGGGAAUUUUGGACAAUGGGGGAAACCCUGAUCCAGCAAUGCCGCGUGAGUGAAGAAGGCCUUCGGGUUGUAAAGCUCUUUUGUCAGGGAAGAAACACCGGCUCUAACACAGUCCGGGAAUGACGGUACCUGAAGAAUAAGCACCGGCUAACUACGUGCC
rnacentral:rRNA from 1 species